AACCAGCACCUCAAGUGGUCAGGAUGAUUAUUGGGCCUAAAGCAUCCGUAGCCUGUUCUGUAAGUUUCCGGUUAAAUCCAUACGCUCAACGUAUGGGCUGUCGGAAAUACUGCAGAACUAGGGAGUGGGAGAGGUAGACGGUACUCGGUAGGAAGGGGUAAAAUCCUUUGAUCUAUUGAUGACCACCUGUGGCGAAGGCGGUCUACCAGAACACGUUCGACGGUGAGGGAUGAAAGCUGGGGGAGCAAACCGG
rnacentral:rRNA from 1 species